GGAUGUGAGGGCGAUCUGGCUGUGACAUCUGUCACCCCAUUGAUCGCCAGGGUUGAUUCGGCUGAUCUGGCUGGCUAGGCGGGUGUCCCCUUCCUCCCUCACCGCUCCAUGUGCGUCCCUUCCGAAGCUGCACUCUCGGUGGAAGAGGACGAUGUCCCAGGUAUAGAAGGAGUGUACCGAGGUCUCCAGUCUUCAGUCCCGGGUAUACGAUAGCUGCGCUCCCCUGCUAGAACCUCCAAACAAGCUCAAGGGCCUUAAAGCCAAUCUUAAAAACUGUGGCAUAGACACUGAGAACUGGGAAGCCCUGGCCCU
rnacentral:snRNA from 1 species